rnacentral:rRNA from 1 species
GACAGAGGGUGCAAGCGUUGUUCGGAAUUACUGGGCGUAAAGCGCGUGUAGGCGGCUCUGUAAGUCGGGUGUGAAAUCCCACGGCUCAACCGUGGAAGUGCACUCGAAACUACAGGGCUAGAGUCCUGGAGAGGAAGGUGGAAUGCUUGGUGUAGAGGUGAAAUUCGUAGAUAUCAAGCGGAACACCGGUGGCGAAGGCGGCCUUCUGGACAGUGACUGACGCUGAGACGCGAAAGCGUGGGGAGCAAACAGG